rnacentral:rRNA from 1 species
AGUGAACGCUGGCGGUAGGCCUAACACAUGCAAGUCGAACGGCAGCACAGUAAGAGCUUGCUCUUACGGGUGGCGAGAGGCGGGCGGGGGAGGUAUACAACGGACUCUACUUUGUCGGGGGGGAUAACGUAGGGAAACCUAAGCUAAUACCGCAUACGACCUACGGGUGGAAGCAGGGGAACUUGGGACCUCGGGCGUGUGAAUGAGCCGAUGUCGGAUUAGCUAGUUGGCGGGGUAAAGGCCCACCAAGGCGAGGAUCCGUAGCUGGUCUGAGAGGAUGGAUCGGCACACUGGAUCUGAGACACGGUCCCGACUCCUAGGCGGGGACACAGUGCGGAAUAUUGCGGAAUGCGCGAAUGCCUGAUACAGCCCUACCGCGUAGGUGAAGAAGGCCUUCGGCUUGUAAAGCCCUUUUGUUGGGAAAGUAAAGCAGCCCGGUAAUACCCCGCUGUACUGACGGUACCCAAAGAAUAAGCACCGGCUAACUUCGUG